rnacentral:rRNA from 1 species
CCUACGGGUGGCUGCAGUGGGGGAUAUUGCACAAUGGGGGGAACCCUGAUGCAGCGACGCCGCGUGGGUGAAGAAGCGCCUCGGCGCGUAAAGCCCUGUCAGCAGGGAAGAAAAUGACGGUACCUGAAGAAGAAGCCCCGGCUAACUACGUGCCAGCAGCCGCGGUAAUACGUAGGGGGCAAGCGUUAUCCGGAUUUACUGGGUGUAAAGGGUGCGUAGGCGGUCCGGAAAGUCAGCGGUAAAAGCCCGGGGCUCAACCCCGGCGAGCCGUUGAAACUGUCGGACUAGAGACGGCGAGAAGUACGCGGAAUGCGCGGUGUAGCGGUGAAAUGCAUAGAUAUCGCGCAGAACUCCGAUUGCGAAGGCAGCGUACCGGCGCCGGACUGACGCUGAGGCACGAAAGCGUGGGUAUCGAACAGGAUUAGAUACCCUAGUAGUC